AGCGAACGCUGGCGGCAUGCCUAACACAUGCAAGUCGAACGAACCUUUCGGGGUUAGUGGCGGACGGGUGAGUAACACGUGGGAACGUGCCCUUAGGUUCGGAAUAACUCAGGGAAACUUGUGCUAAUACCGAAUGUGCCCUUCGGGGGAAAGAUUUAUCGCCUUUAGAGCGGCCCGCGUCUGAUUAGCUAGUUGGUUGAGGUAAUGGCUCACCAAGGCGACGAUCAGUAGCUGGUCUGAGAGGAUGAUCAGCCACAUUGGGACUGAGACACGGCCGAAACUCCUACGGGAGGCAGCAGUGGGGAAUCUUGCGCAAUGGGCGAAAGCCUGACGCAGCCAUGCCGCGUGAAUGAUGAAGGUCUUAGGAUUGUAAAAUUCUUUCACCGGGGACGAUAAUGACGGUACCCGGAGAAGAAGCCCCGGCUAACUUCGUG
rnacentral:rRNA from 1 species